rnacentral:rRNA from 1 species
UACGUAGGGUCCGAGCGUUGUCCGGAAUUAUUGGGCGUAAAGAGCUCGUAGGCGGUUUGUCGCGUCUGCUGUGAAAUCCCGAGGCUCAACCUCGGGCCUGCAGUGGGUACGGGCAGACUGGAGUGCGGUAGGGGAGAAUGGAAUUCCUGGUGUAGCGGUGGAAUGCGCAGAUAUCAGGAGGAACCCCGAUGGCGAAGGCAGUUCUCUGGGCCGUAACUGACGCUGAGGAGCGAAAGCGUGGGGAGCGAACAGG